UUAAUAUUCAUUGUAAUUAUUAUUUUAUCCAUAAAUUUUAACAUUAUAAAUACUUUUAUUCUUUAGUUCAUUAACUAAUGAUUAAAUUAAUAAGGAUUCAAAUAUUAAAUAUAGAGAAAAAAAUAUCCUAAAUAUUUAAGCCGUGAUGGGUGAGAAUUUAAAGGCUGCUUUAGCAAGUAAUGACAAACAAGACGCAAUCAGCUCAACCACCAACGACUUAAAAGCCUUUCAUCACUGAAGCCAUGCCAUGCCAUUCCAUAACUUUUUCCGAGUGUAUUGCCCUUCACAGAUGUUGCACAAGUUUCAAGUUUAAACCUUUCUUCACGUCAAGGCUAAUUCUGCUGCAUGAUAAGAACCCUAAGACAAAGAUUAGAGCUACAGAUUCCACACAACUAAGCGUAACAUGAGAAGAAGAAAAGGGAGGAAUGAUGGAAGCUCAACUCCAAAAAAAAUACAACAUCAAUUGAAUUUUCUGUUCUGCUAAGACACCAAUAUAACCUGUAAUUUAAAUGACUCGUGUCAUCAACUCCUUUUCCAAUACACAAGGAAAAACUGAAAAAGCAUCACCUUUGCCCUUGCCCAUCCUCUCCCUCUCCAUAUGCCCGAUCACUGCAAUGAGAUCCUGUUUUUACUCUCUAGAAUAAAGAACCAUGCAAUGAGUCAAACCUGCAGUACCAAUGUAGCAACACAGCGCACCAUCUAAGUGGGCUGAAUAGGAGGACGUAUGAAAUUUUGUGAACCAGCAACUAAUUAGUUAUUCCACUCUGUUAGUGCAUGAUA
rnacentral:misc_RNA from 1 species